rnacentral:lncRNA from 1 species
GAAUCUUAUUUAUGUAGGUAAUUAGUAGAUAAUUGAGUAGAAUUAGCUUAUCAAAUAAGUAAUCCUAACAAAAAGAGGAAUUGGAUCCAAUCAUUUGCUAGCAAGGUUACCAUGAACCCAAUGAAUUUCUUUAAACCCAAUUGACACUUCAUAAGCUCAAUUUCUUAUUCCAGACCUAAUCCCUUUGUUAUGUGACCCC